GUUCAAAUGAUAAAUCACAACGAGGUAGUAGUCGUAGGUUCGGAUGCACUAAGGUUACUGCCAAGUUAGUGCAAAGAUAUAACAGGCAAGAACAUGAUGUACUCCAGAAAAAAUGUCUGAUUGUUGCUCGCCAAACUUUUUGCUCUCAUGGUAGUAAAUACUCCAUUUGUUUUAACUACAUACCUUUUGUAGCAUGUGAGAAAGGGAAGAAGCUGCUAAAUGA
rnacentral:misc_RNA from 1 species